UACGGAGGGGGCUAGCGUUGUUCGGAAUUACUGGGCGUAAAGCGCACGUAGGCGGACUGGAAAGUCAGGGGUGAAAUCCCGGGGCUCAACCCCGGAACUGCCUUUGAAACUCCCGGGCUUGAGGUCGAGAGAGGUGAGUGGAAUUCCGAGUGUAGAGGUGAAAUUCGUAGAUAUUCGGAGGAACACCAGUGGCGAAGGCGGCUCACUGGCUCGAUACUGACGCUGAGGUGCGAAAGCGUGGGUAGCAAACAGG
rnacentral:rRNA from 1 species